rnacentral:sRNA from 1 species
UUUUCGUCUGCAGAAAAGAGGAUGAGAACCUCCGGAGGAGGUUUGCGCCGGGCGCAGCGAGACAACGUUGCGUCAGCAACGGCCCGAAGGGCGCAGCUCGAAGAGCGGCGUUAUCCUCUCUCGCCGACCA